AUGGCGCUGGAGAAUAUUAUCCUGAUGAU
rnacentral:piRNA from 1 species